CUUGGUCAUUUAGAGGAAGUAAAAGUCGUAACAAGGUUUCCGUAGGUGAACCUGCGGAAGGAUCAUUACCUAGAGUUGUAGGCUUUGCCUGCUAUCUCUUACCCAUGUCUUUUGAGUACCUUACGUUUCCUCGGUGGGUUCGCCCACCGAUUGGACAAACUUAAACCCUUUGCAGUUGAAAUCAGCGUCUGAAAAAACUUAAUAGUUACAACUUUCAACAACGGAUCUCUUGGUUCUGGCAUCGAUGAAGAACGCAGCGAAAUGCGAUAAGUAGUGUGAAUUGCAGAAUUCAGUGAAUCAUCGAAUCUUUGAACGCACAUUGCGCCCCUUGGUAUUCCAUGGGGCAUGCCUGUUCGAGCGUCAUUUGUACCUUCAAGCUCUGCUUGGUGUUGGGUGUUUGUCUCCUGUAGACUCGCCUUAAAACAAUUGGCAGCCGGCGUAUUGAUUUCGGAGCGCAGUACAUCUCGCGCUUUGCACUCAUAACGACGACAUCCAAAAGUACAUUUUUACACUCUUGACCUCGGAUCAGGUAGGGAUACCCGCUGAACUUAAGCAUAUCAAUAAGCGGAGGA
rnacentral:rRNA from 1 species